CCUACGGGAGGCAGCAGUAGGGAAUCUUCCACAAUGGACGAAAGUCUGAUGGAGCAACGCCGCGUGAGUGAAGAAGGGUUUCGGCUCGUAAAGCUCUGUUGGUAGUGAAGACAGAUAGAGGCAGUAACUGGCCUUUAUUUGACGGUAAUUACUUAGAAAGUCACGGCUAACUACGUGCCAGCAGCCGCGGUAAUACGUAGGUGGCAAGCGUUGUCCGGUGUUAUUGGGCGUAAAGCGAGUGCAGGCGGUUCAAUAAGUCUGAUGUGAAAGCCGUCGGCUCAACCGGAGAAUUGCAUCAGAAACUGUUGAACUGGAGUGCAGAAGAGGAGAGUGGAACUCCAUGUGUAGCGGUGGAAUGCGUAGAUAUAUGGAAGAACACCAGUGGCGAAGGCGGCUCUCUGGUCUGCAACUGACGCUGAGGCUCGAAAGCAUGGGUAGCGAACAGGAUUAGAUACCCCUGUAGUC
rnacentral:rRNA from 1 species